GAUUGAAAUGGAAAGAAUAAUGGAAAGGGAGUGUACUGUUCUUUCAAAACCGUGAAGUCCAAAUUGACUUCAAAAUCCCAAACUGCUUUUCUUCCCCACCGACGGCAGUGACGAUGGCGCAUGCGGAGGAGGCGGCAAUGUAACCGGUUUGUCAUCCAAAGCCGUCUUCUUCAUUCCUUCAUCCCUUCUUUCUCUCAUUCUCCUCGGUUCCAAAUCGGGAAAGGGGCGAAAACCCUACCCACCAUCUUCUUCCUUUCUCUUCGGUGAUAACCAUGGUGGAGAUGAACGAAGCUUUUCCAUUAUGUUCGUCCUCCAUCUCUUUUCUUAUUUCGGUUUGGAUGGGGAAAGGGACGUCAAGCAAGGCGCUACGGUGAGGUUACGGUUAUCAUUCUCCUCUUCUCAACCUUAAUGGCUUCAACUUUCAACUCCUCUAUUUCUUGGCCAACAUAGUUGUUUUUGUGGAGACUUCACACUAGGGAACUGCAAUGUGGCCACAGUGUUGACAUGCCUUUCCUAUCGACGUCUGCAACCUUUGGCUUCUGAACAAAAGAAUUGGGACAGUAGGAGCAAUGUAGCAUAUCAAACUACACUCAUUUCCAUCUUUAAUAUUCUCCUUCUUUGGCGCUUGUUUCUUCUUAUUCAAUGUGAUUCCUCAUUUACUGUAGUUCUUCCAUGAGCUACUCCACUUUCACGAAGCUCCUUGUGCAUAAUGCCAAAGCAUCAGCUAUAUUAGCGGCAAUGCUAAGUUUGCUUCCCGAGUCAAAAGAUUGGCCACUUUGAGAUCCUGACAUGGCAUUUGGGUUAUUCAUUCAUGAUUACUCUCACCUUUAGCUGUUGCACACUAUUAUCAAAUUGGAGAGUGAAUAAUAAUGCA